rnacentral:rRNA from 1 species
AGUGGAUGGGGAGCAACCUAGUUGUGCGUGUGUAAAGGUAGUGCCAAGAAAAGCGAUGAUCAUGUUGAAAAUCAAUUCCCGGUACCCGAAACCGACACAGGUGGGCAAGUAGAGAAUACUAAGGGGCGCGAGGUAACUCUCUCCAAGGAACUCGGCAAAAUGACCCCGUAACUUAGGGAGAAGGGGUGCCACCGAGAGGUGGUCGCAGUGAAGAGGCCCAGGCGACUGUUUAGCAAAAACAUAGGUCUCUGCAAACUCGAAAGAGGAGGUAUAGGGGCUGACGCCUGCCCAGUGCCGGAAGGUUAAAGAAGUUGGUCAGUCUUAGGAUGAAGCUAGCGACUGAAGCCCGGUGAACGGCGGCCGUAACUAUAACGGUCCUAAGGUAGCGAAAUUCCUUGUCGGGUAAGUUCCGACCCGCACGAAAGGCGUAACGAUCUGGGCGCUGUCUCGGAGAGAGGCUCGGCGAAAUAGGAUUGUCUGUGAAGAUACGGACUACCUGCAUUUGGACAGAAAGACCCUAUGAAGCUUUACUAUAGCUUGGAAUUGUGUUCGGGCUUCCUGUGCGCAGGAUAGGUGGGAGGCGUAGAAGGUAUUCUUGUGGGGAUACUGGAGCAACGGUGAGAUACCACUCUCAGGAGGCUAGAAUUCUAACUUAAUUAAGGACAGUUUCAGGUGGGUAGUUUGACUGGGGCGGUCGCCUCCAAAAAGGUAACGGAGGCGUACAAAGGUUCCCUCAGACUGGUUGGAAAUCAGUCGAAGAGUGCAAAGGCUGAAGGGAGCUUGACUGCGAGAAGUACAGUUCGAGCAGGGUGGAAACACGGUCUUAGUGAUCCGACGGUGCUGUGUGGAAGGGCCGUCGUUCAACGGAUAAAAGUUACUCUAGGGUAACAGGCUGAUCUCCCCCAAGAGUUCACAUCGACGGGGAGGUUUGGCACCUCGAUGUCGGCUCAUCGCAACCUGGGGCGGAAGUACGUCCCAAGGGUUGGGCUGUUCGCCCAUUAAAGCGGUACGUGAGCUGGGUUCAGAACGUCGUGAGACAGUUCGGUCCAUAUCCGAUGUAGGCGUGAGAAUAUUGAGAGGAGCCUUCCUUAGUACGAGAGGACCGGGAAGGACGCACCGCUGGUGUACCUGUUAUGAUGCCAAUUGUAAACGCAGGGUAGCCAAGUGCGGAGAGGAUAACCGCUGAAAGCAUCUAAGUGGGAAGCCCACCUCAAGAUGAGUAUUCUGGUGUAAGGUCACGGGAAGACGACCCGUAAAUAGGCACGAGGUGGAAGUGCAGAGAUGUAUGAAGCCGAAGUGUACUAAUAGACCGUCGGCUUGACC